ensembl:lncRNA
ACUUUAAGGGGAGUGCAUGCAGAUUACACUUUACCCAGGUUGCUUCAGUUGGGAAGAAAUGUUCGGAGGAGCCAAAGAUAACAACCGUAGAGCCUCUCCCUUCCCUGCCCCUGGCAGUGCCUCCUGUCACCGUGCAUCUCUCCUGUCUUAUCCUGCCCAUUCUGCAGGCCACUAACUAUUUGCCUGUUCGGGCCCAAACAGAAUCGCUUGACCAGUGGUGGAGACAGAAAGAAAGAUCCAAAGUGCGUGAGAGCACAUUCUGAUGGCCUGCCCGCCUCCCUUUCAGGAAGAACAUUCUUUGUAGGUAACUCCUUCUGAGCACCCCGACUUCAUAGUUCUGAGGUACAAUGGGCAGCAGGGAACUGAGCAGGAAGCCAACUGGAAUCAAGGGAACGACGCUGGCUGCCAUGUUGGUCAUGACCGCACUACCUCCCUCUGGACAUUCUGAAUAACAUCUGCCUUUCAUUUGACCUCACAACAACAUUGGGAGGCAGGUGCUACAAUUAUCCCCUUUUGACAGGUGAAGGUGAGGCACAAAGAGAUUGAGUAACCUGCCCAAGUUCACACAAUGAAUUAGUGGUGGAGCUUCUACUCACAAUGCAGUCCUUUUGAUCCAUCCUAUUGCUCAACUGUGGUACAGCAUCAAGAACAUCACCAGGGUGAGGGCAGGGGGAACUGUGUGGCUGAAAUUGGAGAUAACUCGUAAGCUCUAUCCACAAGGAUAUAAAACUUCACAAGAGCAAGGUCCCGAGUUCAAUUCCUGGUACUGAAAAAGACAAUUCAUGUCAGGAUCAGAGGCUCAUUAGGCAAUGAUUUGCACCCAGAAGGCAAAGGUGGGCCUGCAGUGAAUCAAGAGACUCCCAUUCUCAGCUACGAAAUUGAAUAAGUGCUGGAAGCAAUGAUUGCAUACCUAUUAUGCCAGAUACUCAGGAGACCAAGGCAGAAAGAUCACAAGUUC